UUGGAGGGCAAGUCUGGUGCCAGCAGCCGCGGUAAUUCCAGCUCCAAUAGCGUAUAUUAAAGUUGUUGCAGUUAAAAAGCUCGUAGUUGAAUUUCGGGAUUAGUAAGUUGGUCGUGCCUCUGGUAUGUACUGGCUUUACUGGUUCCUCCUUCUUGAAGAACUGUAAUGUCAUUAAUUUGGUGUUGCAGGGAAACAGGACUGUUACUUUGAAAAAAUUAGAGUGUUUAAAGCAGGCUAACGCUUGAAUACAUUAGCAUGGAAUAAUGAAAUAGGACGUUUGAUCCUAUUUCGUUGGUUUCUAGGAUCGACGUAAUGAUUAAUAGGGAUAGUUGGGGGCAUUAGUAUUCAAUUGUCGGAGGUGAAAUUCUUGGAUUUAUUGAAGACUAACUACUGCGAAAGCAUUUGCCAAGGAUGUUUUCAUUAAUCAAGAACGAAAGUUAGGGGAUCGAAGACGAUCAGAUACCGUCGUAGUCUUAACCAUAAACUAUGCCGACUAGGGAUCGGAUGAUGUUAAAUUUUUAAUGACUCAUUCGGCGCCUUACGGGAAAC
rnacentral:rRNA from 1 species